UACGGGGGGGGGCAAGCGUUGUUCGGAAUUACUGGGCGUAAAGGGCUCGUAGGUGGCCAACUAAGUCGGACGUGAAAUCCCUCAGCUUAACUGGGGAACUGCGUCCGAUACUGGAUGGCUUGAGUUUGGGAGAGGGAUGCGGAAUUCCAGGUGUAGCGGUGAAAUGCGUAGAUAUCUGGAGGAACACCGGUGGCGAAGGCGGGUCUCUGGGCCGAUACUGACGCUGAGGAGCGAAAGCGUGGGGAGCGAACAGG
rnacentral:rRNA from 1 species